UACGGGGGGGGCAAGCGUUGUUCGGAAUUACUGGGCGUAAAGGGUUCGUAGGUGGCCCGCUAAGUCACACGUGAAAUCCCUCAGCUUAACUGGGGAACUGCGUGUGAGACUGGCAGGCUUGAGUGCAGGAGAGGAACGCGGAAUUCCAGGUGUAGCGGUGAAAUGCGUAGAUAUUUGGAGGAACACCGGUGGCGAAGGCGGCGUUCUGGGCUGUAUCUGACACUGAGGAACGAAAGCCAGGGGAGCAAACGGG
rnacentral:rRNA from 1 species